AUUCCUACGGGAGGCAGCAGUGGGGAAUUUUGGACAAUGGACGCAAGUCUGAUCCAGCCAUUCCGCGUGCAGGAUGAAGGCCCUCGGGUUGUAAACUGCUUUUGGACGGAACGAAAAGCCGCUUUCUAAUACAAGGCGGUUAUGACGGUACCGGAAGAAGAAGCACCGGCUAACUGCGUGCCAGCAGCCGCGGUAAUACGUAGGGUGCGAGCGUUAAUCGGAAUUACUGGGCGUAAAGCGUGCGCAGGCGGUUUGGUGAGACAGACGUGAAAUCCCCGGGCUUAACCUGGGAACUGCGUUUGUGACUGUCAGACUAGAGUGUAGCAGAGGGGGGUAGAAUUCCACGUGUAGCAGUGAAAUGCGUAGAUAUGUGGAGGAAUACCAAUGGCGAAGGCAGCCCCCUGGGUUAACACUGACGCUCAUGCACGAAAGCGUGGGGAGCAAACAGGAUUGGAUACCCUGGUAGUCCACGCCCUAAACGAUGUCAACUAGGUGUUGGGGAAGGAGACUUCUUUAGUACCGCAGCUAACGCGUGAAGUUGACCGCCUGGGGAGUACGGUCGCAAGAUUAAAACUCAAAGGAAUUGACGGGGACCCGCACAAGCGGUGGAUUAUGUGGAUUAAUUCGAUGCAACGCGAAAAACCUUACCUACCCUUGACAUGUCAGGAAGAUUCCAGAGAUGGGAUUGUGCCCGAAAGGGAACCUGAACACAGGUGCUGCAUGGCUGUCGUCAGCUCGUGUCGUGAGAUGUUGGGUUAAGUCCCGCAACGAGCGCAACCCUUGUCAUUAAUUGCCAUCAUUUAGUUGGGCACUUUAAUGAGACUGCCGGUGAUAAACCGGAGGAAGGUGGGGAUGACGUCAAGUCCUCAUGGCCCUUAUGGGUAGGGCUUCACACGUAAUACAAUGGUCGGUACAGAGGGUUGCCAACCCGCGAGGGGGAGCCAAUCCCAGAAAGCCGAUCGUAGUCCGGAUUGUAGUCUGCAACUCGACUACAUGAAGUCGGAAUCGCUAGUAAUCGCGGAUCAGCAUGUCGCGGUGAAUACGUUCCCGGGCCUUGUACACACCGCC
rnacentral:rRNA from 1 species